rnacentral:misc_RNA from 1 species
GAUGAAGAACGCAGCGAAAUGCGAUACGUAAUGUGAAUUGCAGAAUUCAGUGGAUCAUCGAAUCUUUGAACGCAUAUUGCGCUCUUUGGUAUUCCGAAGAGCAUGCUUGUUUGAGUAUCAGUAAACACCUCAAAGCUUUUGGAUUUUUUAAUCGAAAAGCUUUGGACUUGAGCAAUCCCAACACCAAUCUUUUUGAGAUCGGUGGCGGGUUGCUUGAAAUGCAGGUGCAGCUGGACAUUCUCCUGAGCUAAAAGCAUAUUCAUUUAGUCCCGUCAAACGGAUUAUUACUUUUGCUGCAGCUAACAUAAAGGGAGUUUGACCGUAUUGGCUGACUGAUGCAGGAUUUCACAAGGGUCGGCAACGAUUCUUGUUAAACUCGAUCUCAAAUCAAGUAAGACUACCCGCUGAACUUAAGCAUAUCAAUAAGCGGAGGA